UUAAAGUGGAGAGUUUGAUCCUGGCUCAGAAUGAAUGCUGGCGGCGUGCCUAACACAUGCAAGUCGAACGAGAAAUUUCCCUGAGUAAUCAGAGAAAAAGUAAAGUGGCAGACGGGUGAGUAACAGGUGGGCAACCUGCCCUUAAAUUGGGGAUACCCCAUCGAAAGGUGGGCUAAUACCUAAUAAGACUACAACUACUCAGGUGGAUGUAGUAAAAGAUGGCUUUUAAAGAGCUUUCGUUUAAGGAGGGGCCCGCCUACCAUUAGCUAGUUGGUAGGGUAACGGCUUACCAAGGCGACGAUGGUUAGCUGGUCUGAGAGGAUGAUCAGCCACACUGGAACUGAGAUACGGUCCAGACUCCUACGGGAGGCAGCAGUGAGGAAUUUUGCGCAAUGGGGGAAACCCUGACGCAGCGACGCCGCGUGG
rnacentral:rRNA from 1 species